GUGGGCCUCAUGAUUUUAUCCUUCAAAAAAUAUCUUAUGUGAAAAGGAUAGUUUCUUUCUACAUAAGUCAUGAGUCCUCUUGAUUUACAAUCAAUAUCGGAUUAAUAAUACCCUCUCUUCUACACCGCAAUGUUACUCAUAGCUAAAUAUUUGAAAUAUCACAUAUUACAUUAUCCAUGAUUAGGAUCUAUCACGUUGUCCAAAGAGAG
rnacentral:lncRNA from 1 species